UACGAAGGGGGCUAGCGUUGUUCGGAAUUACUGGGCGUAAAGCGCACGUAGGCGGAUCUUUAAGUCAGAGGUGAAAUCCCAAGGCUCAACCUUGGAACUGCCUUUGAUACUGGGGAUCUUGAGUCCGGAAGAGGUGAGUGGAACUGCGAGUGUAGAGGUGAAAUUCGUAGAUAUUAGGAGGAACACCAAUGGCGAAGGCAGCUCGCUGGGACGGUACUGACGCUGAGACGCGAAAGCGUGGGGAGCAAACAGG
rnacentral:rRNA from 1 species